CCAGACUCCUCCGGGAGGCAGCAGUGGGGAAUAUUGCACAAUGGGGGAAACCCUGAUGCAGCAACGCCGCGUGAGUGAAGAAGUAUUUCGGUAUGUAAAGCUCUAUCAGCAGGGAAGAAGAUGACGGUACCUGAUUAAGAAGCCCCGGCUAACUACGUACCAGCAGCCGCGGUAAUACGUAGGGGGCAAGCGUUAUCCGGAUUUACUGGGUGUAAAGGGAGCGCAGACGGCAGUGCAAGUCUGGAGUGAAAGCCCGGGGCCCAACCCCGGAACUGCUCUGGAAACUGCGCGGCUAGAGUGCUGGAGGGGCAGGCGGAAUUCCUAGUGUAGCGGUGAAAUGCGUAGAUAUUAGGAGGAACACCAGUGGCGAAGGCGG
rnacentral:rRNA from 1 species